AAUGUGUCUUACCUACAAGAUGUAGAGGGAUAAAGAUGAGCAGAGACUGAGGGAAUGCCCAACCAAUGACUGCCCCAACUUGAGACCCAUACCAUGGGCAAGAACCAAUCCCUGACAAUAUUAAUAAUACUCUAUUAUGCUUGCAGACAGGAACCUAGCAUCACUGUCAUCUGAGAGGCUCUACCCAGAAGCCAAUGGAAAAAGAUGCAAAGACUCAUACCCAAACAUUAGGUGGAGCUCAGGGAGUCAUAUGGAAGAGUUGAGAGAAGGGUUGAGGAAUCCGAAGAGAAAAGGAAUACUACAGGAAGACCAACAGAGUCAACUAACAUGGACCCUUGGAAGCUCCCAGAGAACAAAUCACCAACCAAAGAAUAUACACAGGAUGGAUGUAGGCCCUCUGCACAUAUGUAAAAGCAGCUUCUUUAACCUUCCUGUGUAGACUGCAGACCAGAAGUUCACCAAGAAUCAUCAAGACCUUCAGCAGCAUAUUGAAAUUGCUACAAUAUCCUGCUUCUUGGACUAAGCCACUGUUGAGUUCUCAGUUUCUUUAACAUGCAGACAGCCAUUGUUAGACUACUCAACUCCUGAUAUGAAAUGUAUUCCAGUACACACACACAUACAC
rnacentral:lncRNA from 1 species